GCUGUAUGAUGAAAUAAGGCAAAUGUGACUUCACUGGCAGGGCUGCAUCCUCAACCCAUUUCCUUAGACGGGUUUGUAAUCUUGGCAGACAAUGCAGAGUUGUGUGUGUUUGCUGUAAGGGCAGACCAACAGAAAAUUCCAUUUCCUGUUAUCCAUCUCCUCCUAGCUAAGAGGUACUAGGAGUUGAGUAAGGUUAUGGGGACAGGGUGCACUGAUGGUGUCCAAGGUGUGGGUAUGGGAUGUGGCCCAGGUCAAAGCUGGUGAGAGAUGAGCACAGGUCUUUGGUAAUCUGAUGGCU
rfam:Alligator mississippiensis ScZkoYb_11, whole genome shotgun sequence.